rnacentral:rRNA from 1 species
CUUGGUCAUUUAGAGGAAGUAAAAGUCGUAACAAGGUUUCCGUAGGUGAACCUGCGGAAGGAUCAUUACUGGGUUCAUGCCCUAACGGGUAGAUCUCCACCCUUGAAUACAAACUCUUGUUGCUUUGGCGGGCCGCUUCGGCUACUGGCUUCGGCUGGUGAGUGCCCGCCAGAGAACCCUAAACUUUGAAUUACAGUGUCGUCUGAGUACUAUAUAAUAGUUAAAACUUUCAACAACGGAUCUCUUGGUUCUGGCAUCGAUGAAGAACGCAGCGAAAUGCGAUAAGUAAUGUGAAUUGCAGAAUUCAGUGAAUCAUCGAAUCUUUGAACGCACAUUGCGCCCCUUGGUAUUCCGGGGGGCAUGCCUGUUCGAGCGUCAUUAUAACCCUCAAGCCUAGCUUGGUGUUGGAGCAUGCUAUCUAGCAGCUCCUAAAAUCAGUGGCAGUGCCUUUCGGCUCUAAGCGUAGUAACUUUUCUCGCUAUGGAAACCGGAUGGUACGCGUCAAAACCCCCAACUUUCUAUGGUUGACCUCGGAUCAGGUAGGGAUACCCGCUGAACUUAAGCAUAUCAAUAAGCGGAGGA